rnacentral:rRNA from 1 species
ACUCAAAUGAAUAGACGGGGGCCCGCACAAGCGGUGGAGCAUGUGGCUCAAUUCGAUGCAACGCGAAGAACCUUACCUGGCCUUGACAUGCACUAGACAGACGCUGAAAGGCGUUCUCCCUUCGGGGCUGGUGCACAGGUGCUGCAUGGCUGUCGUCAGCUCGUGUCGUGAGAUGUUGCGUUAAGUCGCGCAACGAGCGCAACCCCUGUCCUUAGUUGCCACCAUUAAGUUGGGCACUCUAAGGAGACAAACCCUCUCUGAGGGUGGGAAGGUGGGGAUGACGUCAAGUCAGGAUGGCCCUUACGGCCAGGGCUGCACACGUGCUACAAUGCACGGUACAGAGGGACGCAACACCGCGAGGUGAAGCAAAUCCCAAAAACCGUGCCCAGUUCAGAUUGUAGUCUGCAACUCGACUACAUGAAGUUGGAAUCGCUAGUAAUGGCGUAUCAGCUACGACGCCGUGAAUACGUUCCCGGGCCUUGUACACACCGCCCGU